rnacentral:rRNA from 1 species
UACAGAGACUGCAAGCGUUAUUCGGAUUCACUGGGCGUGAAAGGGUGCGCAGGCGGCCGGGUGUGUCAGAUGUGAAAUCCCGAGGCUCAACCUCGGAACUGCGUCUGAAACUACUCGGCUAGAGUACUGGAGAGGGUAACGGAAUUCACGGUGUAGCAGUGAAAUGCGUAGAUAUCGUGAGGAACACCAGAGGCGAAGGCGGUUACCUGGACAGUUACUGACGCUCAGGCACGAAAGCAUGGGGAGCAAAAGGG